UGGCAGAAAACCUGUAUGAACGAUACUCUGUGACUCGGGCAAGACAGCUUUGAACUCAAGGAUUGUCCCCUGGAAGCAUGACAAAUGAUUUUCCCCACCUGUGAAGAGUUCACUCAAGAUCAAAAAAUGCUGAAGGUCGAAAACAUCCCGGGACGCUGCUUCUGUAGAAUCCACAUCACUGGACUAUUUCUACCUCCUCACUAAAGAUGUUCAGAAAUGGAGACAAAUACAAGCAUGAGAGGGAGUUCUAAAGAUGAGAAGCAAAAAUUACAUGGCAGGUAUGUACCUGUACUUCCCACUCAUUAACGGUUAAGGAUUAAACGCAAGAAUGGGGACGGCCUUUUAUCUGUCUUCUUUUCUUGCUGCAUUAUACACAAAU
rnacentral:lncRNA from 1 species